rnacentral:rRNA from 1 species
GAUAAACGCUAGCGGCAGGCUUAACACAUGCAAGUCGAGGGGCAGCAUAGAUUGUAGCAAUACAAUUGGUGGCGACCGGCGCACGGGUGCGUAACGCGUAUGCAACCUACCCGUCACAGGGGGAUAAUCCGGAGAAAUCUGGUCUAAUACCCCAUAACAUAUGGAUCGGCAUCGGCCCCUGUUGAAAUGUUCGGAGGCGCCGGCUGGGGAUGCGUAGCAUUCGCUGGUUGGUGAGGUAACGGCUCACCAAGGCGACGAUGCUUAGGGGGACUGAGAGGUUUACCCCCCACACUGGGACUGAGACACGGACCAGACUCCUACGGGAGGCAGCAGUGAGGAAUAUUGGUCAAUGGGCGCAAGCCUGAACCAGCCAUGCCGCGUGCAGGAUGACGGCUCUAUGAGUUGUAAACUGCUUUUGUACGAGGGUAAAGUGGGUUACGUGUAACCUUUUGAAAGUAUCGUACGAAUAAGGAUCGGCUAACUCCGUGCCAGCCGCCGCCGUAA